CCUACGGGUGGCAGCAGUGGGGAAUUUUGGACAAUGGGCGCAAGCCUGAUCCAGCUAUUCCGCGUGUGGGAUGACGGCCCUCGGAUUGUAAACCACUUUAGUAGAGAACGAAAAGGAGCUAUCGUAUAAAUAGCUCUGCUGACGGUACCCUAAGAAUAAGCACCAGCUAACUACGUGCCAGCAGCCGCGGUAAUACGGGGGGUGCAAGCGUUGUCCGGAAUCAUUGGGCGUAAAGCGUUCGUAGGCGGCACGUAAAGUCUGGUGUUAAAGGCAGAGGCUCAACUUCUGUACGGCACUGGAUACUGGCGAGCUAGAAUGCGUUAGAGGUAAAGGGAAUUCCUGGUGUAGCGGUGAAAUGCUUAGAUAUCAGGAGGAACAUCAGUGGCGUAAGCGCUUUUCUGGGCCGUAAUUGACGCUGAGGAACGAAAGCCAGGGUAGCAAAUGGGAUUAGAUACCCUUGUAGUC
rnacentral:rRNA from 1 species